ensembl:lncRNA
AGGAGGGUUAAAGUUUAAUUAGAUUAAUAAUUUUAUACAGAACAGACAUGUUCAAGAUGGAGUCCAUCAGUAGUUUGUUGUUGUAUUUAUGCAGCUGAGAUCAAAUCAUCACAAAAUGUUACCUUUUAUUAUUUCAGUGUUUCUCGGUGGUCAGAUCUUUCUAAAGGAAUCAGGUUCUUUGUGAAUCUGUUCUGUGCAGCAGCAGAGAGAGAACAGCAGACAGGAGAGAAGACACUGGAGCUGUUAUCAUCAGUGUGCAGAGAUCAAACAUUCCCUUUAAAAGACAUGUAUGAUGAUGAAUAUCAGAGCGAUUUCCUGCUGGAUCUGUACUCCCACCUGAAGGACUGUGAGACUAAAACAGGUCUGAGUCUCCUUCCAUCAUUACAGUCAGUUUUCCAGUCAGCUCCUGCAGUCUGGAUCAUAAACCUCUCAGAGAGAAAGAGCUCCAUCCUCCUGGAAGUGCUGAAACUCCAAUCAGAGAAGAAACAAGUGGAGCUGACAGGCUGCUCAGAUGAAGAGAGUGAAGUGAGGAGUUUCCUACAGUGUCUGCCUUAUAUCUCACAGCUCAGUGUUCCUCGGUGGUCAGAUCUUUCUAAAGGAAUCAGGAUCUUUGUGAAUCUGUUCUGUGCAGCAGCAGAGAGAGAACAGCAGACAGGAGAGAAGACACUGGAGCUGUUAUCAUCAGUGUGCAGAUACAAAACAUUCCCUUUAAAAUAUGAGGAGGAUUAUAAUAUUGUCAACUUAAAUGAAUAUCAGAGUAAUUUCCUGCUGGAUCUGUACUCCCACCUGAAGGACUAUGAGACUAAAACAGGUCUGAGUCUCCUUCCAUCAUUACAGUCAGUUUUCCAGUCAGCUCCUGCAGUCUGGAUCAUAAACCUCUCAGAGAGAAAGAGCUCCAUCCUCCUGGAAGUGCUGAAACUCCAAUCAGAGAAGAAACAAGUGGUGCUGAGAGGCUGCUCAGAUGAAGAGAGUGAAGUGAGGAGUUUCCUACAGUGUCUGCCUUAUAUCUCACAGCUCAGUGUUCCUCGGUGGUCAGAUCUUUCUAAAGGAAUCAGGAUCUUUGUGAAUCUGUUCUGUGCAGCAGCAGAGAGAGAACAGCAGACAGGAGAGAAGACACUGGAGCUGUUAUCAUCAGUGUGCAGAUACAAAACAUUCCCUUUAAAAGACAUGUAUGAUGAUGAAUAUCGGAGUAAUUUCCUGCUGGAUCUGUACUCCCACCUGAAGGACUAUGAGACUAAAACAGGUCUGAGUCUCCUUCCAUCAUUACAGUCAGUUUUCCAGUCAGCUGCUGCAGUCUGGAUCAUAAACCUCUCAGAGAGAAAGAGCUCCAUCCUCCUGGAAGUGCUGAAACUCCAAUCAGAGAAGAAACAAGUGGAGCUGACAGGCUGCUCAGAUGAAGAGAGUGAAGUGAGGAGUUUCCUACAGUGUCUGCCUUAUAUCUCACAGCUCGGUGUUUCUCGGUGGUCAGAUCUUUCUAAAGGAAUCAGGUUCUUUGUGAAUCUGUUCUGUGCAGCAGCAGAGAGAGAACAGCAGACAGGAGAGAAGACACUGGAGCUGUUAUCAUCAGUGUGCAGAUACAAAACAUUCCCUUUAAAAGACAUGUAUGAUGAUGAAUAUCGGAGUAAUUUCCUGCUGGAUCUGUACUCCCACCUGAAGGAUUAUGAGACUAAAACAGGUCUGAGUCUCCUUCCAUCAUUACAGUCAGUUUUCCAGUCAGCUGCUGCAGUCUGGAUCAUAAACCUCUCAGAGAGAAAGAGCUCCAUCCUCCUGGAAGUGCUGAAACUCCAAUCAGAGAAGAAACAAGUGGAGCUGACAGGCUGCUCAGAUGAAGAGAGUGAAGUGAGGAGUUUCCUACAGUGUCUGCCUUAUAUCUCACAGCUCAGUGUUUCUCGGUGGUCAGAUCUUUCUAAAGGAAUCAGGUUCUUUGUGAAUCUGUUCUGUGCAGCAGCAGAGAGAGAACAGCAGACAGGAGAGAAGACACUGGAGCUGUUAUCAUCAGUGUGCAGAUACAAAACAUUCCCUUUAAAAUAUGAUAAUGAUGGAUAUCAGAGUUAUUUCCUGCUGGAUCUGUACUCCCACCUGAAGGACUGUGAGACUAAAACAGGUCUGAGUCUCCUUCCAUCAUCACAGUCAGUUUUCCAGUCAGCUCCUGCAGUCUGGAUCAUAAACCUCUCAGAGAGAAAGAGCUCCAUCCUCCUGGAAGUGCUGAAACUCCAAUCAGAGAAGAAACAAGUGGAGCUGAGAGGCUGCUCAGAUGAAGAGAGUGAAGUGAGGAGUUUCCUACAGUGUCUGCCUUAUAUCUCACAGCUCAGUGUUUCUCAGCGGUCAGAUCUUUCUAAAGGAAUCAGGAUCUUUGUGAAUCUGUUCUGUGCAGCAGCAGAGAGAGAACAGCAGACAGGAGAGAAGACACUGGAGCUGUUAUCAUCAGUGUGCAGAUAUGAAACAUUCCCUUUUAAAGAUGAUGAUGAAUAUCAGAGCGAUUUCCUGCUGGAUCUGUACUCCCACCUGAAGGACUAUGAGACUAAAACAGGUCUGAGUCUCCUUCCAUCAUUACAGUCAGUUUUCCAGUCAGCUCCUGCAGUCUGGAUCAUAAACCUCUCAGAGAGAAAGAGCUCCAUCCUCCUGGAAGUGCUGAAACUCCAAUCAGAGAAGAAACAAGUGGAGCUGACAGGCUGCUCAG